GCAUUUCUUUUGAUCUCUGUCCCCAUACCUGCAGAAUGCUGUGUCGCCUGAGCAGGUAGAUGUCCAGAAACCUCCCACGGCCAGCCAAGCUGCACCACCUGAAGCUGUUUCUGCUCCGAGGGGAGAAGAUUUGGAGCUUUUCCCCCUCUGAAGCCUGUCACCCUCUCUGGAAAGAGCACCUCCUACAGUGAAAGUCAUCUGGCCACCACAGAAUGCCCCACAUCUGCUCUUCACGGAAACACUGUCCACUCCACUGCUCCCUGUUGUUGCAGUCAAGGUCCCUAAAUCUGUGGACAUCAGCCAGUCAGCCAUGAUCCUGCACAAACACCACCCAAUGUGUUCUUUCUUUUGUUUCCACCUCUUCCCCCCAAAUAAGGACUUUUGUACAACCCGUCAGAGUUUUCUUUCCUCUGCAUUUGCCUGCUCCAUACUCAUUUCCUAUUUGUGACUGUAGCUUCCCAACCUUGCCUGUGGCAGCUGAAGUGGGGUAGCCAGGGAGGCCCCUCUGCUCUCCCAGGGCCUCCACACUGUGGGCAGAACCCAGAUGGAGCUGCCCUUUGCCUAUCGUGGUUCCUACUGCCCUGCACCUGACCCUGGAAGGACACACCAUCCUAGGAAGACAGCAUGUGAAACAAACCUCACCACCUCACCACACUAGUUUCCCAGGAAGUACAGCAGGCCCAGGAGAUGACAGGCCACAGCCUCUCCUCCUGCCACCCAUGGGGAGGCACCCAAGCCUGUGUCACCUGUGUGACCCAGUAACCUGUAUAUUUCUUGCCAUUUCUGUGGG
rnacentral:lncRNA from 1 species